rnacentral:pre_miRNA from 1 species
UUUAAGCGUAACCAUAAGUUUCCAUAUCCAACUAUUAUUUGAAAUUUUCUAUGAUUGGUAUUAUUAUUAUUAUUAUUAGAUGAUAAAAUAUGAAUAGUGCUUUAUGCGUGACUUAUAUUUUUUAUUUUUUUAAAAAAAUUUAAAUAAAAUAAAUGGUUAAAGUUAGAUACGGAACCUAUGACUGAGGUAGUA